CCUGCCUAAGGCGUCAUGUCAGUGGUCAACAGUAUUUUGAAAUGAAUUGCACUGAACGUCCCACGGUUAUUGUACGUUUCACUACCUUAUUUUAAUGUCUAGUUAUAAAGCGUAUGGUUAUUGUAACUAUUCUUGGCCUUUAUAUAUGUAUGUAUUAAGCUGGUAAAUGCUUAAUUGUAUUUGCAGUUUUGAGAGGUUCUUUUAUUCAGUGGUCAAUCUCGGGUGGCAUUAAUGGUGGUUUGUUUUCUUGUGCCCAUGCAGUUACAGUCAGCAUGAAGCAAUUGCAUGGGAACCGACUGGCUGUCUUGGGCCUACACGUUGCUGAAAAGACAGUGAAGACGUCUGAGCCGACAGGUAGAAAACAAGCAGAUGGCUACAGCGAUCAGUGAAGAAAUGACUUCAUCUAUGAUGGCUCGCCAUAGGACAUUGGAAUGGAGCUACACAAAGGCAUCACCAGCCUCGCCUGUGCCCUGGAACAUUGGUUUGAAUAAGACUGUUCUUCAGUGUAGAAUGACCACAAGACUUGUCACCACAUACAAGGCAUAGUGCAAGCUAUAAAUAUUGUACAGGUGGCUAGAAUAAAUGACCCUCCAUGCA
rnacentral:lncRNA from 1 species